rnacentral:rRNA from 1 species
CUACGUGCCAGCAGCCGCGGUAAUACGUAGGGUGCGAGCGUUAAUCGGAAUUACUGGGCGUAAAGCGAGCGCAGACGGUUACUUAAGCAGGAUGUGAAAUCCCCGGGCUCAACCUGGGAACUGCGUUCUGAACUGGGUGACUAGAGUGUGUCAGAGGGAGGUGGAAUUCCACGUGUAGCAGUGAAAUGCGUAGAGAUGUGGAGGAAUACCGAUGGCGAAGGCAGCCUCCUGGGAUAACACUGACGUUCAUGCUCGAAAGCGUGGGUAGCAAACAGGAUUAGAUACCCUGGUAGUCCACGCCCUAAACGAUGUCAAUUAGCUGUUGGGCAACUUGAUUGCUUAGUAGCGUAGCUAACGCGUGAAAUUGACCGCCUGGGGAGUACGGUCGCAAGAUUAAAACUCAAAGGAAUUGACGGGGACCCGCACAAGCGGUGGAUGAUGUGGAUUAAUUCGAUGCAACGCGAAGAACCUUACCUGGUCUUGACAU